AAAUACAGUGUACAGGCCACAUCGUCUAUUGAUGUCGAUCACAUGGACUAUUGCACGUCAGAUGAAUAAAUCCAUAUACAGCGUACAUAACGUUAAUGUUGAAUAUAAUGACUACUGGAUGUUGAAGUAUAAACCCGUCUACAAAGAUGAUGUUGUUUUGGCGGGCCGGAUAUCCGUAAGCAUACUGUCAUAAGAGAACGAGAAACAUUCUAAAAAUGAAUCUCUCCAACUGGACACAUUUACUUGUGCAGCAUAAAAAUGAAUCGGUCAGCCGAAUGGCGUCCAUGGCUGUCCCUUCGGUCAUGUUCGCGGCUGGGGUGUUUGGAAACAGUUUGGCUCUUGUUGUGUUGUAUAAUUCUCGUAAAGAACAAAAACAGUCGGUGUUUUAUCGUCUAGUUGGGGCUUUGGCCAUAACAGACCUUUUUGGAACAUGUGCUACAUCGCCCGUCACUCUAGUUGUGUAUGCCAAUGGACUAGAAUGGCAGGGCGGACAACCGCUGUGUAACUACGCUUCCUUCAUGAUGAUAUUUGCGGGACUCUCGAGCAUCUUUACCCUGGCCGCGAUGGCUCUAGACAGAUACCUAGCUCUAAACCGUCCAUAUUUCUACAGCUCCCAUGUAAAUCCUUCUCGUGUGAAGUUCUUGUUCCCAGUUUUAAUGACAGCCGCCCUAAUCAUGGGUUGCCUUCCUUUGAUUGGGAUCGGGAAGAACGUCCAUCACUUCCCAGGGACCUGGUGUUUCUUUGAUUAUUAUGGGACCACUCCCAGAAUUCAGACGUUCGCCUACCUCUACAGCUUGCUGGGACUUACGGCUCUAACUUUCAUUGUUAUUUUAAACUCUGUGGUUCUCAGAACUGUCUGGUCCCUCCACCGGAAGGCCUGCGAGAUUCAGAUGGUGGUUUUCCUGAUCGGGAUUCUAACCGUCGUCAGUGUGUGCUGGGCGCCACUUAUGAUACGAGUGUUUUUGAUACAAACGGGCCUCAAACAGAAGGACGUGAUCCAGGAUUUAGUAUUCAUUAGAAUGGCUUCAUUCAACCAGAUACUGGACCCAUGGGUGUACAUUCUAUUCCGUAAAACUUUUCUCACCAGACUAAUUCAGUUCACCAAAGUUCAUUUGUGUUUAUCGAAAAAAGAAUUCGAUCCCAAACAAUCUGGCGGGCAAGAUCGCGAAGAGAUAAAACGACUGAGGCAUGCAAAGGUAGAUCAACAAUUUAACAGCAAGGCAGACGAACCAUUCUGCAAUGAAUCCACGGGGGAGGCAACGGAGAUUGUUAAUUGUCGGAAUUAGGGACAUUUAAUGACUCGGGAAUAUAAAACAAGCACCCAAUGGAAACUCAGGAAAAGGUCAGUGUCAUCUUCAUUUGUAGAAGUGUAGUGCCACAGGAUUAUGAGAGCAUCACAACUUAGACAGAUAAUUCUAGGAAACUUGCGGCUGAAGAUAUACUGACUGGGAACCCCUCCUGUGGCUUGUACCUUUGUGUGAAGUAAAGAGGAGUCAUCCGAGGAUUGCCCAUUGUAUAAACUCGUUUUUAGAAUCAAUCGUGAAUUGAUCUACAUUGUGUUUCUUCAUAGUACGAUUUAACAAAAGUGAAAUAAAAAUAUCAAGAAACAGCA